CCUUUUUCCCGUGUCACAAUCAGAGCGGAGCUUCAUCAAUACUCGAACACACGACCUGAGAACCUGGACCCCCAAAGGUCCAGCACAUACACAAAACAGAGAGUUAGCANNNNNNNNNNNNNNNNNNNNNNNNNNNNNNNNNNNNNNNNNNCCACACUUGAGUAAAUAAAAGUAAGGCAUAAGCAUAUAUGUUCAUACACAAUUCUAUCUAAUAAGCAUACUCAUUAACAAUAUAGCAUAGCGAAUUAGAUAACAAAUACAAACAUAAUUAUCAAAGAAACACUUAUGUUAAAUCAAUGACAAUUAUCAAGCAUCAAGUACAAAGGACACAUAAUUCCUAAAUGCACACUAAUGUCAAUUAGAAAUGUAUGUCUCCUAAUGCAUAUCUAAUGCAUGUGGUACCAUUCCUUUUUUUUGGAUAAACUUAUAUCUCUUUGCAUCUCUCAUUUGCUUACCAAAGCGGUUAUGCAUUUGACCAAUUACAUUGGAUUUCCAACCUUACCAAAGGUCAAUCAUACAACAUGAGUGCAUGAAAUGUUCACAUAGCAAUUAUAUGAUAUUUACACCUACACAUAUACCAAUAUGUAUGUACACUAUCAAUCAUAAUUAUCAUUCCAAUUAAUUAUCAACUCCAUGAUUAAUUAACAAUUCAUAUUAUGAUUCAAUCACAAACAUCAUUGUCAAACAUAAUGCAUUUAUUCCAUCAAUCAACAAUCCAAUUAUCAUUGAAUAGAAUACUAGCAUAUAUUCCUAAUUAUUCAAUCAUUUGAAUUCACAAAACUCAUUUUCUUUCCAAAUCAUGCUUCUAACAUAAUAUAUUCUUAACAAGCAAGCAUUAUUCCAGAAAACUAACUUCAGAUUCGGAAUCUACACAAAAAACUGUGAAAGAUAGGUUCCAGGUGCAUGAACCGUCGGAAAGUCAACACUCAGUCAACAGUCAAGGGGUCAACAGUCAAACUGUCAAACCAACAGUUGCGUCGGUCAUAGCGUCGAUAAGUUUCGACGCAAGGACCUGUUCAUACUGCAUAAUUAUUACGCAGAAGAAUUAGCGACGCCAUAGCGUCGACCUAUUCGACGCAAACACUAUGUUGCAUAUUUUCAGAAAAACGCGUUUUGAACAUGGGUUUGACCCAAAAGUGCUUAUUUUCACCAAAAUCACUUAUUUGAACUUAGGAAAAGCACAUACACUUAAUACCCAACGUAUAACUCAUAUAAAACAACUUAAACAUAAGUUAAAAAACACCAAAUCAUCAAGAUUAAUCAUUUAUCUUUAAGUUAUUAGAUUUUAUCAUAAAUCUCAAAACCCACCAUUUUUGCAAAGCUUGAACAAUCAAUCAAAAGCAAUGACAUCAUAUAUGCAUCAACAAGGAAUAUAAACACAUUCCCAAUUCCCAAAUUAACCACAACUCAUAGAGAUGAAAGAGUUUAGGUAUGGAGAAGAAAGGUUUUUCUCUCCUCUUUAUGAACCAUCUCAAAAUGAAUAAAUUACUACUCUCAUACCUUAUUGAUGUUGGAUUCUCUAGUCCUUCAUCUCCUAGCUCUUCUUCUUCAAUCUUCUCCUCUACUUAGCUUUCCUCUUCACUCUUUGUUCUUUCUCUUCUUUUCUCUUUAUCUAUUCUUUCUUGAGAGCUUCUCUUUCUAC
rnacentral:lncRNA from 1 species